ACCUGGACUAAACCCAGAACUUAACUUGGACUAAACCCAGAAUUUAACCUGGACUACAUUGGGCCUGGUCAGGACUUGGAUGGGAGACCGCUGGGAAUACCAGGUGCCACAGGGG
rnacentral:rRNA from 1 species